rnacentral:lncRNA from 1 species
AGCUGACUUAUGCACCAAUCAUUCAUAAUAAUACAAACACACAUGCUAUUGGUUCUUCUUUUCUGGAGAACUCUGACUAAUGUAAUAAGAUUAAAUGACCACGAGAGAUAGGUAAAUGAGGAUGGAGUUGGCAUGGAUGGGAUUAGACCCCUACAAAGAAUUCAAAGAACUAGCUUGUUCAUUUUCUGUGAAGUGAAACAAGAAGUAGGUAACCUGAAUAGGAACUCUUUCAAUAACCUGACCACACUGGAACUUGGACUUCCAAGCAUUGAGAAAUGCUGUUUCCAGUCUUUAGAUUAAAAAAAUAAAUCAAGAUGAAGAUUGCAGAAUAUGAGAAGAUAAUUGCUUUGGAAACAUGAAUUGUUAAGAAAAAAAUAUAGUUACGUUUAUAUGAAGAGGUAAAUGCAGAGACUAGAAGGAGAUCUACAAAGUCCCCCAAAUUCUCAUGUAUGUGGAAGAUGAUUGGAUUGUGUGGGUGCAGUACUCAUCGGUACAUUGAUCUGUUGAAGCAUUCAGAAGCUGAAUUGCUGUGAGGAGGUGAGAUGUGGCUGAAGGUGUGUUACUGGGAAUAUGACCUGGAAGAUUAUGUCUUUCUCUUCAGCUUCUUCUCCCUUCCUUCUCUGCUUCCUGGAUACCAUGGGUUGAGGAUCUUUUCCUCUGCCAUGCCCCUAUGGCAUUCUGUUCCUGCCUUGGAGUCAGCUGACCAAGAACUGAAACCAUGAGCCAAAUAAAAC